CAGCAGCCGCGGUAAUACGAAGGGGGCUAGCGUUGCUCGGAAUUACUGGGCGUAAAGGGAGCGUAGGCGGAUCGUUAAGUUGGGGGUGAAAGCCCGGGGCUCAACCUCGGAAUUGCCUUCAAUACUGGCGAUCUUGAGUAUGGAAGAGGUAUGUGGAACUCCGAGUGUAGAGGUGAAAUUCGUAGAUAUUCGGAAGAACACCAGUGGCGAAGGCGACAUACUGGUCCAUUACUGACGCUGAUGCACGAAAGCUAGGGGAGCAAACAGGAUUAGAUACCCGGGUAGUCCCUGUCUCUUAUAC
rnacentral:rRNA from 1 species